rnacentral:rRNA from 1 species
UGGGGAAUAUUGUACAAUGGGCGCAAGCCUGAUGCAGCCAUGCCGCGUGUGUGAAGAAGGCCUUCGGGUUGUAAAGCACUUUCAGCGGGGAGGAAGGCGUUAAGGUUAAUAACCUUGGCGAUUGACGUUACCCGCAGAAGAAGCACCGGCUAACUCCGUGCCAGCAGCCGCGGUAAUACGGAGGGUGCAAGCGUUAAUCGGAAUUACUGGGCGUAAAGCGCACGCAGGCGGUCUGUCAAGUCGGAUGUGAAAUCCCCGGGCUCAACCUGGGAACUGCAUUCGAAACUGGCAGGCUAGAGUCUUGUAGAGGGGGGUAGAAUUCCAGGUGUAGCGGUGAAAUGCGUAGAGAUCUGGAGGAAUACCGGUGGCGAAGGCGGCCCCCUGGACAAAGACUGACGCUCAGGUGCGAAAGCGUGGGGAGCAAACAGG